CCCAGCCCAACUUCCUGAGAGUGAUCACUAUCCUGAAUUGUGGACUUCUUGUUCCUUUGCUUUUCCUGAGAGUUUUGUCAAAUUAUCUGUGUUUUCCUAAACAGUACAUUGUUCAUGUUUGGUAUAAAUGGGAGCAUAUCCUAUGAGUUCUUCUGUCACUCAAUCACACCGAGAUGUGUACCUUUGGUUGACUCGGUGCUUACUGCUGUGUGCUGAGUCCUAGUGUCAAUAAACUAUGGUUUACUCCUCCACCCUCUCGCCGUGGAGCCGCUUCCUCUUUGUGAUUCUGUCGUUGUUGCUCUGUGUUUGCUUCUCUCUUGGCGACUACAAAUCAAUGGACAUGUUUGUACUGGACUCUUCACACAUGUGUAAGAAAUUCCCUGAAGAGUAAAGGCAAGAGAGGAGUUGCUUGUUUGUAAGGGAGCUGUAUCUUCGACUUUGGAGAGAAUUCUGAAUAGUUUUCCAAAUAGAUCAUAAGAUGUAAACAGUCGCCAAGAAUCACGUGGGUUGUUUCAUUCUAUGUUCUUACCAAGACUCGAUAUUAGCACAGUUUUAAAUACAAACGGUAUCUUUUGUAGUUAAAUGUAUGAAGAUUUAUUUUACGGUGGUGCUCUUGUGUCUUGUUUAUAAACUCUCCCUCUACCCAAGGUCACAUAGAUUUUCUCCUAUAUUAUCUUCUAAAAUUUGAUGGUUCUUUUUCAAAUUUGAGUCUUUAAUCUAACCAGAAUUGAUUUUUGUAUUUAGAGAGAGAGAAAUCUAACUUUUUUCUCCGAUAUAGAUAGUGUUUUAUCUGGUACCAUUAAUUGGUAGUCUCUUCUUUACCCAGUGAUUUGCUUGGCACAUUCUAUGUAUUGAGUGUCCAUGUAUUUCUGAGUCUGUUUCUUCUAUUUCUAUUCUAAUUUCAUUGGUCCGUUUGUCCCCAGAUUGACACUACGCUUCUGUUAGUGCUUUAUAUGAGGAUCUUGAUGUCCAGUAGGUCAUGGCCCUCACUUUCUGAUUUUUUUCCCCUCAGGAGCAUUUUGGCUUUUCUUAACUUUUCCUCCUUCAUAAAAAUUUUAGAAUCAAAUUUAGAAUUUUAGAAUCAGUUUGCCAAGUUGCACAAAAGUCUUGGUAAGAUUUUCACAGGAGUAGAUAAAUUUGAGAAAAGCUGAUAGUUUUAAACUUUCGAGUCGUUCUAGUCACAAACAGUGCAUCUUCCCACUGGUUUAGGUCUUCUUUAAUGCUUUUAAAUUAAAUUUUGUAAUUUUUCCCUUAAGUCUUAAAAAUCUCUUAUACAUCCUCUUAUAUGUAUGUACGUGGAUAGAUACUAUUUUGUUAUUUUAAUUAUAUCAUUUUUAAUAUUAAAUUAUCUAACUCUUGUUACUAAUCCACAGAUAUGCAACGGAAUUUUAUACGAUGAUAUUGUUUUGAUCAACUUUGCAAAACUCCCUGUUGAAGUCUAGUAGUUUUGGGUACAUUCUUCGCAUUUUGUGUGGAAACAAUCGGUAUACGUGUGCAUGAUGGUGGAGUCAUAUUCUUCAUUUUCUACACUCAUGCAUUUAUGCCGUCUUGUCUUGGACUUCUAGGAAAUCAUGGAAAGAAAGCGGCUAUGGUCCUACCAGACUUGGCUCCAUCUCUGCUGCGUGACAAUUCUCUCCAGGACCCAGGCUAACAAAGAAGACACUACAUAGGAUAUUGCCAGUCGUCCCAGAGAAAAGAAAGAGGGGGCUGGGAGUCUCACUGAGAAUUAGAUGCUUAGCCCAGAAGAGGUGCUGUCAGCUCCCUGCACCAAUCACUGGCAGAGUCGUUCCCCUAGCGAUCCAGCAAGCAUGUUCUUACCACGAGCCAGGAAGUCAGAGAGUGGGAAAAGUUCAAUGAUCAGCACUGAUGAAUAACAUAUCAUCUUUUGUCGUUUCCUUUUAUUUUUUGUCUUAAAAUUGUACUUGCUUAUUUCCUGCA